GUUCCCACGCGACGGUUCAAUCGCGAGUCCGCCCCGAUGCCCUCCCCUCGCAGCCCCGACGCGCGGCGCCCUCCCCUCGUCCGCCGCCCUCCCCCUCCUCUCCGACUCCACCACCGCGACGCUCGUCCACGGCAAGCCACGCCUUACUCCGGCCUCGCGAGCCGCCUCCCCGCCGACGACGGAAGGCUCGCCGCACCGCUCCCCCCCAACCCCUGGCCGGCCCUCGCUCUCCGGCGUCGCGAGCCGCCUCCGCGUCGACGACGAGCAGGGGGACGCGCAGCUCUCCCCCAACCCACUGGCGGCUCCGGGCUCCCCGGCGUCGUCAUCGCCGCGAGCCACCUCCGCUACGCCGACGAAGGCCUGCCGCGCCUCUCUCCCUCAACUCGCGGCCGGCCCUCGCUCUCCGGCCUCGCGAGGUGCCUCUCCCCCAACCUGCGGCCGGCCCUCGCUCUCCGGCCUCGCGUGGUGCAUCUCCUCCAACCUGCUGCCGGCUCCAGGCUCCCCGGCGUGGUCGCCGCUGCCGUCCCCGCCCAGACGCCGCCGCAGACGGUGGAGACGGCGAAACAAAUCUUCGCGGUGGUAUGCACUGGAGAGCCUAACUCUGCUCUGUUUUCGUUCCCAUGCCUCCAAUUCCCCCGCUGUCCUGUUCUGCCACCGCAUCAACGACAAGGCUGGGAGUCUGGGAUCGAGCAUCGAUGGCCACGGCUCCGAAGAAUCACGUCAGCCCCUAAUUAACUCCUACACUUCAUUCAACUAAUUAGCAUCUGUGCAGUUUGGACAUGGGAUCUGAAUUGGAUGCACGCACACUUUGGACUUUGUGUUUCUGAUCAACCAUUAGCAUCUUGUGUACACGAUACAUCACUUCUCAAUUCCGUUGGGCAAUAUCCCACACUUGCAUAUCACUUGUUCAAUAUAAAAGUCUUCCUUCUGUUUAAACCAUAUGAUGAAAUAUCAAUGCAAUGCAACUUGGUAUGAUAUGUAGUAGUCAGCCCCAGGAGUUUAAUGAGGUGAAGGUGAGGCUCGCAUGUGCACCCUGAGCCUGUGUGCAGCUGAUCAAUAUAGCAGCAUUAAUCUUGCAAACUUGGCAGAACAUAGGAUGUCACUUGAACAGAGCUUAUCAUCAAUGAACAAAUAUUGAGAUUUUUCAAUUUGUAACAGUUUAGCCUUGACUUCAGCAAUCAGCAUGUCUGUUCAUGGAAGCCAGUGUAGGCAAAUGUUGGACUCUACAUAGGACCUCUAUCUUUAACUUGAAACGAGAAAUAAUUAGAACAAACUAUCAUAAGUUAGAAUCUGGUCCAAAUUUCAGUUAAAAGCUGAUCUACUCUUACAGAAAGUUCUUAAAUAAACAGAGUUGACUUAAAUUGUAGAUAAACUCUGAGAAUAAAAGUCAGACCUACAAGAGACAUUUGAAAUUAUUCCCUUUUGCAUCAUGAUGCUUGUUAGUUGUCCAUCUGUUGGUGAUCUUGGUUGUUGUCCUAAAGCAACCUCCAUUCAGUUUGCUAUGAUUCAACAUGAUUUUGAUCAAUUGGUAUUAUUUCAUAUAUAGUCCAAGAGCAUGUGUACCAUCAAGGCUAUUCUUUCAGUCUUUUUUCUUGCAGAUUCAGAGCAUUCAUUGUUUGCUUGGAUUUAUUCUUUCAGUCUUAAUUUUUACAGAUUCAAAAUAUUCUUGCAUUGAUUAACAACCAGUAGAGCAAGUCCAAGCAGGCAACCAUGAGGUCUAGUUGUUGCCAUCCUAGAGGGCAAGCUGCAGGGUGUGGGAGCUGGAGUUCAACAUGUAGGAGGUCGCAGGUCACUGACAGCCCACUACUCGCUCAUGCAAAUCCAACCGUGCGUGGUCUAAGGAGCAGGUAGGCCACCUUGAUUUGCUCCUGCGAAUGUGGAUUGUCUUUGUUAUCUGCUAUUAUUUUACAUGCGGUGCAGAGCUCUGUCAUGUUUACGAUUGUAGGCGGAUUAUGCCAUAUGCAGGAGCUUCAAGGUACAGAGAUGAUCCUCCCAGUUAUGAACUCUAGAUUUAUGUGUUGAUUAGUGUUCCUGGAAUCAUAUUUUCGAUUAUGUAGGUGGGCUUGUGUUCUAAUUGAUUGAACUGAUGGACAGCGUAUCCUUAUUUUAAUUUUUCAAAUUUCAGCUGAUGAUUUCAGGUUUGUUUGUGUUUUGAUGAAUAUAACUGAUGGAUAGCAUGAGCCUUUCUUCCUAUCUCAAAACGAAGUCGAUGAGUUCUCUACAAAUUAUUAUGUCAAUAACAUUUAUUAUCUAUUUGUGGACACUGAUAUUUAAUGCCAGAUUGCCAGUUAAUACAAGCCACGAGAUGCUUUGGAAUGAGUAACUAACCAGUUAGUUUAACUGAUCAUUUGGCAAUGCCACAUGACAAUAAUUAUUGUCUUUUUACUUUUACAUGUACUGUCAGUACAAGAUUGUACUGGGGUUAGCUCGUGCUGACAUUGAAGGGAGACAGUUAGAAGAUCAUUCACCCUUCUUGAUGUUAGGCCUGAGAUAGUGUGCUGAGUGAGUUGGCGAUGAAAUCAAUGGCAGGCCUUAUCAGAUCAUCGAUAGAACACUCAGAGUGAGAUGCUUUGAUAAUUGAAUGCAAUUAAGUGAACAUUGAUGCAUCGUGCUUCUAGUGUUGAUCAUUGAACAUUUGCAGACCACUUCCUGCAUCUACAGCUUCAUACAAUAAUGGCAGGUGAAUAUUUUGAAACUUGAGAGCAUGGAGCUGUUUGACCGGCUAUUCUAGACCCGUAGGAUGAUCAACCAAGUGGAUAAAUAUUAUUUCCUAAGAUCAUUAUUCACUAUUAAUGUUAUGUGUUAAGAUCUGGUUCAUGAGUGAUCAUGUUUGUUUGGUCUGCAAUACAAAUUUGUACAAUUGGGUGGAUAAAAUAUGUUCUGCUAUGAUCAGUGGUGAGCUAGAUUGACUCAGUGACAAUGGUUAGUGCAGUAGGUUAACUUAGGAAUGUAUGUGCUAUGACCUUGAGGCAAGUGUUGUCCAUUUCAACUUUUCAGAGUUAGUUUUAUGUUCGAGUCAUGUAAUUUGCCCUGAAAAUUUUUAUGUGUCUUAUUUGGAUGACAAUAGCAGGGGACACUAUCCAAUCUCUUCUUCUCAAGGAUAAAGAUAUUCAUCUUUUAAAUAUCUUAAAGCUAAAUACAUUUCAUAUUCUCUUUUUCUUGGUGCAGGAGAUGUCAAAUGCCUCCACUGAUCUGAUUGAGAUAAUCAAUACCACGCAAUGUGAGAUUUUUUGGCUCAAUACCGGCAUGGACAAGGAUCAGCAACAUGAUGCCUCUGAUAUGAUUAACUAAAUGCUGCUCAAUUAAUCUGCUACCUCAAAUACUUGUUGCAAAUACUUUGAUCCAUCACGUAACACUAUUUCUGGUUAGCUGUAAGAACUCAGUUUCCUACUAUUACCUCAAUGGAUAAUAUUAUUACUUGUUUCAA